rnacentral:lncRNA from 1 species
UUUUCACACGAUCUAGUUGACACUCCUUCGAGCUCUCUGAUGCAAACUCAGUGCAGUGAUGGCGAUGUUAGAGUUAUACAGCGUAAUGCGUUUGACAAUGUUGAAUUACGACAUUUUAUAAAUUUACAAAAUACUGGUGAAGUUGGUGAUUUUGGUACAUUCUACACAAGUAUUAUGGCAGGCUUGGAUACUUUGAUUGUUAGAGCCUCAGACUUUGUACAAGGGCCUGGUGAUCGUCUGCAGAUUGAGUUGAUUGGUGAAUCUCCCGUACAUGUGACCAUGAGAGCGGAUGAAUAUAAUGAACGCACGUUUGGUAAUUUACUUGAAAGUGUUAUGCAGAGUAAUACGGAGCUUAUGAUUGAUGAAUCACUAGAACUGGUGGUACAAAUUGUCAAAAACCGUGAGGGUGGUGCCCCACGACGUAAAGCUCAAACAUUGUUGAUAGAUCAGAUUAUCAAUAAAAAAAGGAGACAUUUAUAUGUGGCUGUGAAUAAUGAUUCUACGUGUUUUUCUGUUUGUUUGAUGGGUAUGUUGAACCCGCAGUACACAUAUCCCGAGGCCCUGGUUAGUGGUCGUGAGCUACAUAAGGGGGCUGGUUUAGCGUUAGAUGAAUGUGUGUCAUUCACAGAUAUUGUUCGGUUUGAAGAAAUGACAGGGUGUAAAAUUGUUGUCUUUCACCGAACACGGGAUGGUCACUUUACCAAGUUUCAAAACAGCAAGGAAACCCACCCUAGAACUGUCUUUAUGUACUUACACGAUAACCAUUUCUACGGUAUCAUGAAUCUGAAGGGUUUUCUGGGUGUGUCUUAUGUUUGUGACUGGUGCUAUACCGGUUUCAACACACGUGGUGAUCAUGGUUGUAAAUAUAGCUGUAGUGUCUGUCUUCAUGAAGAUUGUCAUACCCAACCCCGUAACACAAAGCAGUGCCCUGACUGUAAAAGGAUAUGUUAUUCAGAUUUUUGUUAUAGCCAGCAUAAACGUUUGAAGCACCAUAAAAGUGUGGAUCGUUGGGUUAGCAGGUGUGACCAGAAGAAAUACUGUGUCGAUUGUGGUCGCUAUUACAAUGUCAGUAUUACCAACUAUAAAGCACACCGGUGCAUUGCUAACAUGUGCCCCAAUUGUAAUGUGGAUCUGGCUUUUGAAAUGAAUCAUCAGUGUUUUAUAAAACCCUCCAAGCCCGAGGACCCCAGUGAGCGCUACAUAUUAUAUGAUUUUGAGACUAUUGCCAAUCCGGUGAAUGGUGUACACACUGCAAAUUUUGUGUGUGCAAUAAGCUUUGAUAACAAGACGUGGUGUUCAGCCGGAGAUGGUUGUGUCACUGCUUUUUUUCAAAAGUUUAGGCAACCGAAAUAUAAUGACUACACAUUUAUAGCACACAACUCUAAAGGUUUCGAUGGUUACAUCUUGAUGCAGUACCUUGCUAACAAUGGUAUUGGCACGACACUUAUUGCUAAUGGUAGCAAGCUCAUGAUUUUUACAGACAGCACAUUCAAUCAGAGAUACAUUGAUAGUCAUUGCUUUCUACCUAUGAAGCUGUC